rnacentral:rRNA from 1 species
AUUGAACGCUGGCGGCAGGCUUAACACAUGCAAGUCGAGCGGGGAAGGGUAGCUUGCUACCUAACCUAGCGGCGGACGGGUGAGUAAUGCUUAGGAAUCUGCCUAUUAGUGGGGGACAACAUUCCGAAAGGAAUGCUAAUACCGCAUACGCCCUACGGGGGAAAGCAGGGGAUCUUCGGACCUUGCGCUAAUAGAUGAGCCUAAGUCAGAUUAGCUAGUUGGUGGGGUAAAGGCCUACCAAGGCGACGAUCUGUAGCGGGUCUGAGAGGAUGAUCCGCCACACUGGGACUGAGACACGGCCCAGACUCCUACGGGAGGCAGCAGUGGGGAAUAUUGGACAAUGGGCGAAAGCCUGAUCCAGCCAUGCCGCGUGUGUGAAGAAGGCCUUUUGGUUGUAAAGCACUUUAAGCGAGGAGGAGGCUACUUUAGUUAAUACCUAGAGAUAGUGGACGUUACUCGCAGAAUAAGCACCGGCUAACUCUGUGCCAGCCGCCGCCGUAAAAC